GAGUUUGAUCGUGGCUCAGAUUGAACGCUGGCGGAAUGCUUUACACAUGCAAGUCGAGCGGCAGCGCGGGGCAACCUGGCGGCGAGCGGCGAACGGGUGAGUAAUGCAUCGGAACAUGUCCAUGUCGUGGGGGAUAGCCCGGCGAAAGCCGGAUUAAUACCGCAUACGCCCGAGAGGGGAAAGCCGGGGACCGCAAGGCCUGGCGCGAUUGGGUUGGCCGAUGUCCGAUUAGCUAGUUGGCGGGGUAAGAGCCCACCAAGGCGAUGAUCGGUAGCUGGUCUGAGAGGAUGAUCAGCCACACUGGGACUGAGACACGGCCCAGACUCCUACGGGAGGCAGCAGUGGGGAAUUUUGGACAAUGGGGGAAACCCUGAUCCAGCCAUUCCGCGUGAGUGAAGAAGGCCUUCGGUUGUAAGCUCUUUGU
rnacentral:rRNA from 1 species